UAUAAAUAACAGUCAUAAAAAUAAUAUUUUGUUUCGGAAUAGACCAAUCAGUCAAUAUGAGAUCUUCUAGAAUGGUUUAUAUAUUUCAUGGAAACGAUACUAGUUCCCGGAGAAUGCGGAAGAGACGUGGAAAAAACCAAGAAAAUUUUAAGUCCGUUCCCAAUAGCAUAGCAGUAACGAGUUGUCCUAAAUCAGAACAAAUUGUAUCGCAUGUUUCCUGUACCGAAACUAUCUCGAAUUUAUGGGAUAAAAAUGGAGAGUUUACCAAUGAUAAUCCGGCAAAAAUGUGCGAUAGUCAGUCUGAGUUUUCGGUAAUCUCAAUCUCCAGUGGCGAUUUUUCUUGUGAAGAUACUGUUUCAAAUCAGUUUGAUAACGAAAGUCCAACAAAAAGCUAUGAUAAUCACUUAGAACACACAGAUAUGUCAGACAGCGAUUUCGAAGAUGUAUAUGACGAAGGUAGUUCAAAUAUUAACUCAAAAAGUAUUGAAACAGAGUUUUUUUCGAUGGAGACUACUAUUCAUCCGAGCUUGAGCAUAACUAAACACGAAAUAAUGUUCAUUCUGAUGAAUAUAUUUAUGCGGCAUAAUUUAACUAAUGUGGUCCUGCAAGACUUGUGUCAAAUGAUCAACUUAAUAGUUGAAAAAAAGGUUAUUCCAGAGACAUAUAAAUAAAUUUACUGAUUUCUUUGCCAAAAACAAUUUCGCUCGGCAUUACAUGUGUCAACGGUGUAAUUAUUAUAUUGGUGAAAAAAACAUCAUGUUUGAAUUGUAAGAGUAACAGUUCGUCAUUUUUUAUUAUUUUUGAUUUCGUUGAAAAUAUUCGUGAUAAUAAUUGGGAAAGUAUUGUAGAAUACCGAAGUAAGACUAAACAGUUCCAAUUUGUAUCAGACAUCAUAAAUGCUGGCAUAAUUAAGAAAAGACGACUACAAAAUGCCAUAACUUUGAGUUUCAACACAGAUGGAGUAAAAAUUUUCAAUUCUUCAAUGAGAAAAUCUCUGUGGCCUAUAAUUAUUUGCAUCAAUGAACUACCUCCUAAGUUAAGAUAUUUAAGAAAAAAUAUUAUUGUCGCAGGACUAUGGCUUUCAAUUGGAGAGCCAGAUUUGGAUGUAUUUUUAAAGCCUAUCAGCAACACAUUCAAAACAUUAUACAAUGAUGGAUUAUUUUUUGGUUCAUCAUUUAUGGAUACAGUCCAAGUGGUUGCUUGUUGUGUAGAUACUAAAGCAAGAUGUAAAAUACAAAAUUUCAAGCAAUAUAAUGGAUAUGAAGCGUGCAGUUUUUGUUUACAUCCUGGUGACGUAAGUGGCAAACAAAUUCGAUAUAGUUACAAAAAAGAUUUACCACGGAGAAAUUUUCAAGACACAUUAAAAGCGAUGGCUAUCAGCAGCUACCGUAAAACCCGAAUCAAUGGCGUUAAGGGAAUUUCACCAUUAAUCAGAAUACCGGAGUUCGAUAUUGUUAAAAACUGUCCACUGGAUUAUAUGCACGCAAUCUUGCUCGGAGUUUGCAAACAAAUGUGUCGAAUAUGGUUCGAAACACCCAGUAGUCCAGCUUAUAUUAAAGAUAAAAUAAUUCUGAUUGAUAAAAUCUUAAUUUCGAUCAGUCCAUUUGCUGAAUCUUCGCGUAACACUAGAAAAAUAAGCGAGCGAUGCAGUUGGAAAGCCAAUGAAUGGUUACAUUGGUUGCUACACUAUAGUUGUGUAAGUCUGCAAAAAUUUUUACCUAGUAAAUACUUGAAGCACCACAUUUUGUUAGUAACAUAAGUUACUGAACUAUUACAGAAUGAAAUCCAGGAUAAUACAUUUAAAACAUGUUCGGAAAACCUAGAUAAAUUUGUAAGACAGUUUCAACAGUUAUAUGGACUAGAUGAAAUGACAUACAACGUACAUCUUGUUAUGCAUUUGACAGAGUGUGCUAGAGACUAUGGUCCACUCUGGGCGUUCUCAUUAUUUGUAUUUGAGGACAUUAAUGGAGUUUUGAAAAGAUAUGUCAAAGGUCCAAAUGAACCCAUUGUUCAGAUUGCGAAUCGAUGCAUAAUGUCACAUAUUAGAUAUAAUUCGGAUACUAAAAAUUUCCAGCCGCAUGUUUCAGAUUUUUGGAAUAAACUUAACUGUGUACAACCAAACAAAACAAUAAUAAAUGAAGGAUUCCACUUUUUGGAUCCAAUGAUUAUCAAUAAGUAUAACAGUAUUACGAAAUUCAGAACAUGUUCUAAGUUUAAAUUCAAAAAUUAUUUGUUCAAACACUUCCUCUGGAAUCAUUCAUCAAACAGGAAUAAUUUUCAUAAUGAUUGUUAUUUUUCGUUGAAGGAUGGAGCCAAUAAUAUAUAUGGAGAGAUUCAGCAUAUAGUGACAGAUGAUAUAAAUUUCUUUUUUGUAUUUAAACAAUUUGAGACGAAAAUGAUAAUGAAAGACAUAUAUGAAGCAAAGCUGAUGGAAAACGAAAUGUUUUUAAUUAAAGUUGACGAUUCGAUUACCAAAUUUAUUAAAAUUAAAUCUGAAGAAAGUUUGUAUCUAGUUAAACUACAAUAUACUCUUCACGUUGAUUAGAUUAAAAAAUUGAUUAACUUGUUUAAAAACUGUGAAAUUAUGCAAAUAUCGGUUUAUUAUAACGAAUUUUU